rnacentral:rRNA from 1 species
GACGAACGCUGGCGGCGUGCCUAAUACAUGCAAGUAGAACGCACAGUUUAUACCGUAGCUUGCUACACCAUAAACUGUGAGUUGCGAACGGGUGAGUAACGCGUAGGUAACCUGCCUGGUAGCGGGGGAUAACUAUUGGAAACGAUAGCUAAUACCGCAUAAUAUUAAUUAUUGCAUGAUAAUUGAUUGAAAGAUGCAAUUGCAUCACUACCAGAUGGACCUGCGUUGUAUUAGCUAGUAGGUGAGGUAACGGCUCACCUAGGCGACGAUACAUAGCCGACCUGAGAGGGUGAUCGGCCACACUGGGACUGAGACACGGCCCAGACUCCUACGGGAGGCAGCAGUAGGGAAUCUUCGGCAAUGGACGAAAGUCUGACCGAGCAACGCCGCGUGAGUGAAGAAGGGUUUCGGAUCGUAAAGCCCUGUUGUAAGAGAAGAACGGGUGUGAGAGUGGAAAGUUCACACUGUGACGGUAUCUUACCAGAAAGGGACGGCUAACUACGUG